rnacentral:rRNA from 1 species
ACUCCUACGGGAGGCAGCAGUAGGGAAUCUACGGCAAUGGACGAAAGUCUGACGAGCAACGCCGCGUGAGUGAAGAAGGUUUUCGGAUCGUAAAACUCUGUUGUUAGAGAAGAACAAGGACGUUAGUAACUGGACGUCCCCUGACGGUAUCUAACCAGAAAGCCACGGCUAACUACGUGCCAGCAGCCGCGGUAAUAC